rnacentral:rRNA from 1 species
AACGCGAAGAACCUUACCUGGGCUCGAAAUGUAGAGGACUAUGGCAGAGAUGUCAUAUCCCGAAAGGGUCUCUAUAUAGGUGCUGCAUGGCUGUCGUCAGCUCGUGCCGUGAGGUGUUUGGUUAAGUCCAGCAACGAGCGCAACCCUUAUCGUUAGUUGCCAACGCGUAAUGGCGGGAACUCUAACGAGACUGCCUGGGUUAACCAGGAGGAAGGUGAGGAUGACGUCAAGUCCGCAUGGCCUUUAUGUCCAGGGCUACACACGUGCUACAAUGGUCGGUACAGAAGGCAGCGAAACCGCGAGGUGAAGCAAAUCCCGAAAAACCGAUCUCAGUUCAGAUUGUAGACUGCAACUCGUCUACAUGAAGUUGGAAUUGCUAGUAAUGGCGUGUCAGCAACAACGCCGUGAAUACGUUCCCGGGCCUUGUA